rnacentral:rRNA from 1 species
UACGUAGGGUGCGAGCGUUAAUCGGAAUUACUGGGCGUAAAGCGUGCGCAGGCGGUUUUGUAAGUCAGAUGUGAAAUCCCCGGGCUUAACCUGGGAAUGGCAUUUGGGACUGCAAGGCUCGAGUGCGGCAGAGGAGACUGGAAUUCCUGGUGUAGCGGUGAAAUGCGCAGAUAUCAGGAGGAACACCGGUGGCGAAGGCGGAUCUCUGGGCCGAUACUGACGCUGAGGAGCGAAAGCGUGGGGAGCGAACAGG